rnacentral:tRNA from 1 species
GCUGCUUAUGCGGUAGGUGUGAUUGCCGCCUUGCUGGUGACGGGGCGCUGGUCGGAUCAACUGGGUCGGCGCCCGAUACUGCUGGGCGGGCUGUU